rnacentral:rRNA from 1 species
CAGGUGCUGCAUGGCUGUCGUCAGCUCGUGUUGUGAAAUGUUGGGUUAAGUCCCGCAACGAGCGCAACCCUUAUCCUUGUUUGCCAGCGAGUAAUGUCGGGAACUCCAGGGAGACUGCCGGUGAUAAACCGGAGGAAGGUGGGGACGACGUCAAGUCAUCAUGGCCCUUACGAGUAGGGCUACACACGUGCUACAAUGGCGCAUACAGAGGGCGGCCAACUUGCGAAAGUGAGCGAAUCCCAAAAAGUGCGUCGUAGUCCGGAUUGGAGUCUGCAACUCGACUCCAUGAAGUCGGAAUCGCUAGUAAUCGUGGAUCAGAAUGCCACGGUGAAUACGUUCCCGGGCCUUGUACACACCGCCCGUCACACCAUGGGAGUGGGCUGCAAAAGAAGUGGGUAGUUUAACCUUCGGGAGGACGCUCACCACUUUGUGGUUCAUGACUGGGGUGAAGUCGUAACAAGGUAGCGCUAGGGGAACCUGGCGCUGGAUCACCUCCUUAUACGAUGAU